AAAAUAGGCACUUUUCCAUGGAGAAAGCUGACAAACUACUUCUUUAAAAAAAUGGUGAAGAUAAACGUCUUCAGUGUGAUGUCAUAUGGAUAUCAUGUACCCACUUGAUAUGAUGUCAUAAGAAUGGCAUAAGCAGGAUGCCUCUUUGGUACCACUUCCAAAAAUUCAUCACCCAAAUCUAGUUAUGAUAAAAAACAUUCUUCAAACUCAUACUGAAGACUCCUAAAGCUAAUCAGUACUCUUCAAAACUGUCAAGGUCAUGAAAACAAUAAAAGACUGAAAAACCAUCACAGUCCAGAGGAAACUGGAGAAGUGACAACUCAUUGCAGUGUGGUAGUUUGGAUAGGAUCCUGGGACAGAAAGAUGAUAUUAAUGGAAAAGCUGGUGAAACACAACUUAGUCUGGAGUUUAGUUAAAAGUAACGUGUCAUUGGUGGUUUAUUAGCUUUAACAGACGUUCCGUGCUGUUGUAAAAUGUUCACUGUCAGGGAAAAAGGAUGAAGGGC
rnacentral:lncRNA from 1 species